ensembl:lncRNA
CAAAAACAAACCGAAGAGCUUCGGCCAGCAUCACACUGUCAAACUGAUGAGGAUACGUCAACAUGCCUGACAGGUUCACUCUGCUUACUUUCAGCUUUUGUUUCAUACUUCACAAUGUUUGUAGUUGGACCGUGAGUGCACCUCUCAACCACACAUUCAAUGAGGACGACUCUGUCAGUGUCACAUGCAUGUUUAAUGGAGAGGAUCAGUUUCAUUUGGAAGCUAAGUUGAAAAUGAAUGAUGAAUAUGUUUGUGAGGUUUAUAACAAAAGCCAAGUACAGGAUAAACGUAACUGUUUAUGGGAGCGUAAGGACAACAAAUUCACGUUCACCUUAUUGAACCCUGAGGGCUUACACAAAAAUAAUUUUUCCUGUGAGAUGUCCAAAAUUAAACCAUUUCCAGUCACAAUGAAAGUAGGACCAAAAACUAAGCUUUUCCGAGGUUGCAAUAAGUCUUUGGCUCCACUGAAGAACAGCUGUCCAAUCACUAACCAAACAAAUAACCAGGAUCACAGACCUGUAGAAAGUUACACACCUGAAGAAGUGUAUACCCUAUUAAUCUGUGGGCUGAUAAUAGUGGUGGUAAUGCUAUCUGUCUACAGCAUUAUUGUUACGGCAGUCUACAUCAGAUUGAGGGCCAUGAAUCCCGAGUCUUCUGACACACUGACCUAUGUCCCAAUGCAGAGGAAUGUAAACUGGCGUAAUCUAGACAACACCGAAUAUGUGGACAUGCGUGAAGUGCAGAAACGGGGAGGAUCCCAAAGAGAUAUGAACCACAACUCUCAUCAUGCUUUUGCCUGAGCCCAUUUCUAGUGGCAUAAGUGAGCUCAUGCUUUGACUGCUCUGCUGGAUGAAUUUCACUUGGGCCACACUAAAGAAUAACACAGGAUAAAACUAUCGCCUUUCUACCAAACAUAACAGACUUUUCUGAAUGCCUGAAUCUGCAUAUUGCGGCUGUACUGCAUACAUUACGCAGUCUUGAUGUUCUCUGUGUCAGAUGGUUUCAUCUGGUGGCUUGUACAACCUAAUGCUGAAUUGUAGCUAUGCCAAGCUAAAUGUAUAUAAAGUAUCUAACUUGGCAUUUUUUAUUUAUCAUUUUGAUCCCAUGGACCAAUAAUCAAUGAUAAUGAGAGUUUUGUUCAGUGCUUCCCCUCCCCCCUCUCCCCCCCAAAAAAAUUAUAAAAGAAAUUCUAACAAUAAAUAUAUAA